rnacentral:lncRNA from 1 species
UUUUUAUGUCUUCCUUUAAAGGGAUACCACAAAACAAGUCCCUUCAGAGCCUGACAUCUUGAUUUCGCUGACCCUCCUCAUUUUUAAAUACAGACAAUUCAACCUGGACCUGGGGUAAGGUGAGCAGAAACUGGAUUCGAGUGAAUGUUGAGUGAAGAAAAGUGGAUGGCUUAACUCAGAUGUCCUAGAUCAACCCCAGGAAAACGAAAACCGUGCAGGUGCCAGAAACAACACAUCUUCCACAAAGAAUACUGAGAUUCCUUCUGCUUUGCCUGAUCCAGAGUUCACCAUGAUCCCCUCCAAGACAAGACACAGGCCAUUCCACAGUUAAGAAAGAAGAACAAGGAUACACUCUCUUCUUUUGUACUCACAGAAGAAUUAGUCACAAGAAGUCUUUAUUGGCUGACUUACCUUUAUUGUAGCUGAUUCUGCAUGAAAUGGGCGUGACUCUCUCUCCAAAGGUAUGACUCAUUCAGAUACUGUUUCAGUAGAAAUUGAGAAGUUCACCUAAAAUAAUGUUACCAGAGGUCCAAGGGCAUACAGUAAUAUUCAUAAUAAAUAUUACGUUUUAACAAAAAAAUCUUUAACCACAAAUGUUUUCAGACAAGCUGGUAAGGGUUACUGUGGUCAUUUAAAAUAUCAGGAGCAGAUUCUUUCCU